rnacentral:rRNA from 1 species
AUGCUUGUCUCAAAGAUUAAGCCAUGCAUGUCUAAGUAUAAGCAAUUUAUACAGUGAAACUGCGAAUGGCUCAUUAAAUCAGUUAUCGUUUAUUUGAUAGUGCUUUACUACUCGGAUACCCGUGGUAAUUCUAGAGCUAAUACGUGCUAAAAAUCCCGACUUCUGGAAGGGAUGUACUUAUUAGAUAAAAAAUCAAUGUCUUCGGACUCUUUGAUGAUUCAUAAUAAUUUUUCGAAUCGCAUGGCCUUGUGCUGGCGAUGGUUCAUUCAAAUUUCUGCCCUAUCAACUUUCGAUGGUAGGAUAGUGGCCUACCAUGGUUGCAACGGGUAACGGGGAAUUAGGGUUCGAUUCCGGAGAGGGAGCCUGAGAAACGGCUACCACAUCCAAGGAAGGCAGCAGGCGCGCAAAUUACCCAAUCCCGACACGGGGAGGUAGUGACAAUAAAUAACGAUACAGGGCCCUUUCGGGUCUUGUAAUUGGAAUGAGUACAAUUUAAAUACCUUAACGAGGAACAAUUGGAGGGCAAGUCUGGUGCCAGCAGCCGCGGUAAUUCCAGCUCCAAGAGCGUAUGUAAAAGUUGUUGCAGUUAAAAAGCUCGUAGUUGAACCUUGGGCUUGGUUGGCCGGUCCGCUUUUUUGCGAGUACUGGAUUCAACCGAGCCUUUCCUUCUGGCUAACUAGUUCCUUCGGGGGCUAGCGAACCAGGACUUUUACUUUGAGAAAAUUAGAGUGUUCAAAGCAGGCAUUAGCUUGAAUAUAUUAGCAUGGAAUAAUAGAAUAGGACGUUAUGGUUCUAUUUUGUUGGUUUCUAGGACCCUCGUAAUGAUUAAUAGGGACGGUCGGGGGCAUCAGUAUUCAGUUGUCAGAGGUGAAAUUCUUGGAUUUACUGAAGACUAACUACUGCGAAAGCAUUUGCCAAGGACGUUUUCAUUAAUCAAGAACGGAAGUUAGGGGAUCGAAGAUGAUCAGAUACCGUCGUAGUCUUAACCAUAAACUAUGCCGACUAGGGAUCGGGUGUUGUCCUUUUUUUGGCGCACUCGGCACCUUACGAGAAAUCAAAGUUUUUGGGUUCUGGGGGGAGUAUGGUCGCAAGGCUGAAACUUAAAGGAAUUGACGGAAGGGCACCACCAGGAGUGGGACUGCGGCUUAAUUUGACUCAACACGGGGAAACUCACCAGGUCCAGACACAAUAAGGAUUGACAGAUUGAGAGCUCUUUCUUGAUUUUGUGGGUGGUGGUGCAUGGCCGUUCUUAGUUGGUGGAGUGAUUUGUCUGCUUAAUUGCGAUAACNNNNNNGACCUUAACCUACUAAAUAGUGCUGCUAGCUUUUGCUGGUAUAGUCACUUCUUAGAGGGACUACCGAUUUCAAGUCGGUGGAAGUUUGAGGCAAUAACAGGUCUGUGAUGCCCUUAGACGUUCUGGGCCGCACGCGCGCUACACUGACGGAGCCAGCGAGUAUUAACCUUGGCCGAGAGGUCUGGGAAAUCUUGUGAAACUCCGUCGUGCUGGGGAUAGAGCAUUGUAAUUAUUGCUCUUCAACGAGGAAUUCCUAGUAAGCGCAAGUCAUCAGCUUGCGUUGAUUACGUCCCUGCCCUUUGUACACACCGCCCGUCGCUACUACCGAUUGAAUGGCUUAGUGAGGCCUCCGGAUUGGUUUAAGGAAGGGGGCAACUCCAUCCUGGAACCGAAAAGCUGGACAAACUUGGUCAUUUAGAGGAAGUAAAAGUCGUAACAAGGUUUCCGUAG